rfam:Oryza rufipogon genomic scaffold, chr11
CUUAAGUGCAGUUAUAGAUUUUCGUGUCUAACGCUUGACCGUGCAUCUUAUUUGAAAUUUUUUUUAUCACUAUUUUCAUUGUUACUAGAUGAUAAAACAUGAAUAGUAAUUUAUGCCUGACUUAUUUUUUUAAAAUUGUUUAUAUUUUUUUUCAAAUAAAACAGAUUAUGAAGCGUUGGACACGGACCCCCGUAAUCGUAAUUAAA